rnacentral:rRNA from 1 species
UACGGAGGGUGCGAGCGUUGUCCGGAAUCACUGGGCGUAAAGGGCGCGUAGGCGGCCUGAUAAGUAGGGGGUGAAAUCCUGCGGCUUAACCGCAGGGCUGCCUUCUAAACUGUCAGGCUCGAGCACAGUAGAGGCAGGUGGAAUUCCUGGUGUAGCGGUGGAAUGCGUAGAGAUCCGGAAGAACACCGGUGGCGAAGGCGGCCUGCUGGGCAGUGGCUGACGCUGAGGCGCGACAGCGUGGGGAGCAAACAGG